GACGAACGCUGGCGGCGCGCCUAACACAUGCAAGUCGAACGAGCGAGAGAGAGCUUGCUUUCUCGAGCGAGUGGCGAACGGGUGAGUAACGCGUGAGGGAACCUGCCUCAAAGAGGGGGACAACAGUUGGAAACGACUGCUAAUACCGGCAUAAGCCCACAGGUCGGCAUCGACCAGAGGGAAAAGGAGCAAUCCGCUUUGAGAUGGCCUCGCGUCCGAUUAGCUAGUUGGUGGGGUAACGGCCUACCAAGGCGACGAUCAGUAGCCGGCCUGAGAGGGUGAACGGCCACAUUGGGACUGAGACACGGCCCAA
rnacentral:rRNA from 1 species